rnacentral:rRNA from 1 species
UACCUCAGUAACGGCGAGUGAAGCGGUAACAGCUCAAAUUUGAAAUCUGGGUCUUUCAGGCUCCGAGUUGUAAUUUGUAGAAGAUGCUUCGGGUGUGGCUCCGGUCUAAGUUCCUUGGAACAGGACGUCAUAGAGGGUGAGAAUCCCGUAUGUGACUGGUUGCCUUCGCCCAUGUGAAGCUCUUUCGACGAGUCGAGUUGUUUGGGAAUGCAGCUCAAAAUGGGUGGUAAAUUUCAUCUAAAGCUAAAUAUUGGCCAGAGACCGAUAGCGCACAAGUAGAGUGAUCGAAAGAUGAAAAGCACUUUGGAAAGAGAGUUAAACAGUACGUGAAAUUGUUGAAAGGGAAGCGCUUGCAACCAGACUUGCACGCUGCCGAUCAUCCGGGGUUCUCCCCGGUGCACUCGGUUGCGUUCAGGCCAGCAUCGGUUUGGGUGGUUGGAUAAAGGCCUUGGGAAUGUAGCUUCUUUCGGGGAGUGUUAUAGCCCUCGGUGCAAUGCAGCCUACCCGGACCGAGGACCGCGCUUCGGCUAGGAUGCUGGCGUAAUGGUUGUAAGCGACCCGUCUUGAAACACGGACCAAGGAGUCUAACAUCUAUGCGAGUGUUUGGGUGUCAAACCCAUACGCGUAAUGAAAGUGAACGGAGGUGAGAACCCUUAAGGGUGCAUCAUCGACCGAUCCUGAUGUCUUCGGAUGGAUUUGAGUAAGAGCAUAGCUGUUGGGACCCGAAAGAUGGUGAUCUAUACUUGAAUAGGGUGAAGCCAGAGGAAACUCUGGUGGAGGCUCGCAGCGGUUCUGACGUGCAAAUCGAUCGUCAAAUUUGAGUAUAGGGCGAAAGACUAAUCG